CCAUAGACUGUACUUGAACCGACUCAGGAGCGUAGUAUAUAAGCCAGAGUACGAUAAGCACUUCAAGGAACUAGACAAAGCUAGCAAGUCAUCCUCGGAUGAAUCCUGCGUCACAAUAUAGGUGACUGAUAGUGCAGAACAGGGCGACUGCUUAACAAAAGCACAGGUCUCUGCGUAAGUGCCCAGCCAAUCAUGUAUAGAGACUGACACCUGCCCAGUAUAUGCCACUACAGAUCAUCUUUGUCAUCGAAGAGCCUCCAGAGUGCAUAUAAACGGCGCCUUUAACUAUAAGAGGCCUAAGGUAGCGAAACUCCUUGAUGGAUAAUUGCCAUCCAGCAUGAACGGUGCAACGACCCUGAACUUGUCUCAAAGGUAAGAUACGAUGAAAUCUUAGAAGAUGUGCAAAUACAUCUAAACCAGCCAUUCAGACAAGAAGACCCCGUGAACCUUCACUAGAUAGGCUCAUGUGACCUGUAGAGCUCACCAGGAUAACUCUGAUCAUCCCCUCAGAACCACUCCAGGAUACAGCUUAACACUACUGGUCAGAGCUUCUGGGUCUUAUAGUUUGUCUGGGACGGAUUCCUAUAAAUAAGUAACAUAGGAGCCCUAUGGUAUCCUCUAGAACUUAAUCUUUUGAGUAUAAAUAGCAGCAAUCUGUUAUCUCUAGAUGCCUGAUGGAUUCGUCCACUGAUGUGUCCAAGGAUCUAUAUUCCUGGGAUAGUGUCCCGUAUAGCGAGCUCUAAGGAGUCAUUAUACGAUCAUCGGUUCAAAGGUACUCCGGGGAUAACAGGUCAAGCGAAGUCGAGUGAUAGCCAUCGACACUUCGUUCUGAUACCUCGAUGUCGUCUCAUCCAGACCUAUUACUGCAGAUGGUAAUGAAGGUUAGACUGUUCGUCUAUUAAGUGGAUACGUGAGAUGGGUUCAGAACGUUGUGAAACAGUUCGGAUUAUAUCUGAUGGCUGACCUCGGCUGAACAAUACAUGUGGUAGCCAUUCCGUAGUACGAGAGGAUUCAGGAAUGAGUCACCUCUUGU
rnacentral:rRNA from 1 species